UCACUGAGAUUGCCUUAGUAAUGGCGAAUGAACCGGCAAAAGCUCAUUGCUGAAGCGUGUUAAAUUCACUUUUGACAUGCAUUGUAGCAUUUAGGGUAACUAUUGUAUGGUGCCUGUUCGUGUGAGUUCCUUUGAUCAGGGCUUUAACCAUAGAAGGUGCUAGUCCUAUAAUCACGAAUAGUUGUGCUGUACAUUGUAUACCUUUCGAGUAGCGUAGUUUGAGAUUGCUACGCCAACGUGGGACGUAAACUUGUUCCAAAGCUAAAUAUUAUAACGAGACCGAUAGCGAACAAGUACCGUGAGGGAAAGUUGAAAAGCACUCUGAAGAGAGAGUUAAAUAGUACGUAAAACCGUACAGAAGAAAACGAAUGGCCGCAUUCAUCAGAUUACUUUGAAUUCAAUUCGAUCUCUAUAUGAUGGUGAUACAUGUUGAUUUCGAACUUCAACAGUCGAUCGAUAUGUUAUUGCNUGGAGUCGGAUGCAUUUUCAAAGUAUUAACUGAACCUGGAUCUAUAACAUUGAAAGCUAGUCGAAUCAGUCUAUUUUGGUGGCGAGUUUACUCGUGUUAAAAAUAUGACUUGCAUAAAUAACAAAUUCGACUUGGCGUUAUAGGUAAACAGACAAGUUCUUUGAUUUCAGUACUUUCGAGUACGGCAUACUAUGUGCAUUGUUGGUGUCACAUGAGUAACUAAUAUUUAACCGAUAUUAGUUUUAUUCAUUGUCGGUGCCUAAUGUUGUNUGGUUGUCAAUGAAAUCGGCAAGUCUACAGGAGUUUUGAAUGCCGAGUUAUUCGACCCGUCUUGAAACACGGUCUAAGGAGUUCACUGCAUGUGCAAGAGUUCGGCUGUAUGAAAAGCCUUGCUCGUAAUGAAAGUAAAGAACAUUCUUGCAAUGUUUUAAGUGUGAUUUCUGUCAUCUGGUGCAAAUCAUGACAAUGAACGCAACACUGACAGGUUCUAUUGCCGUUGGCAAAGAGCUUAGUAAGAGUAUAUGCAAUGAGACCCGAAAGAUGGUGAACUUAAUGUGUGUAGAAUGAAGCCAGGGGAAACCCUGGUGGAA
rnacentral:rRNA from 1 species